UACGUAGGGGGCUAGCGUUGUCCGGAAUCAUUGGGCGUAAAGAGCGUGUAGGCGGUCCGGUAAGUCCGUUGUGAAAGUCAGGGGCUCAACCCUUGAAUGCCGGCGGAUACUGUCGGGCUAGAGUCCGGAAGAGGCGAGUGGAAUUCCCGGUGUAGCGGUGAAAUGCGCAGAUAUCGGGAGGAACACCUAUGGCGAAGGCAGCUCGCUGGGACGGGUACUGAC
rnacentral:rRNA from 1 species